rnacentral:misc_RNA from 1 species
UGGCUCUCGCAUCGAUGAAGAACGCAGCGAAUUGCGAUAUGUAAUGUGAAUUGCAGAAUUCAGUGAAUCAUCGAAUCUUUGAACGCACCUUGCGCCCUGUGGUAUUCCACAGGGCACGCCUGUUUGAGUGUCACGUUAAUCUCUCACCCUUGGACUGUUCGCGCGGUUCAUGUCGGUGGAUUUGGGUGCUGCCGUCGUUGGCUCGCCUUGAAAUGCAUUAGCCUUUGGCUCCCGUGCGGGGUCGUCGCGGUGUGAUAGUUCUUUGCAUCGUAGACUUUGCGCAGACCGAGGCUUAUAAUCGUCCUCUGCGGGACAAAUAUUCGAACCUUGACCUCAAAUCAGGUGGGACUACCCGCUGA